GGGGCUAUAGCUCAGGGGGAGAGCGCUACGCUGAAGACGUAGAAGUCCUGGGUUCGAUUCCCAGUGGCCCCA
rnacentral:tRNA from 1 species